rnacentral:rRNA from 1 species
GAUGAACGCUGGCGGCGUGCCUAAUACAUGCCAGUCGAGCGAACGGACGAGAAUCUUGCUUCUCUGAUGUUAGCGGCGGACGGGUGAGUAACACGUGGAUAACCUACCUAUAAGACUGGGAUAACUUCGGGAAACCGGAGCUAAUACCGGAUGAUAUUUUGAACCGCAUGGUUCAAAAGUGAAAGACGGUCUUGCUGUCACUUAUAGAUGGAUCCGCGCUGCAUUAGCUAGUUGGUAAGGUAACGGCUUACCAAGGCAACGAUGCAUAGCCGACCUGAGAGGGUGAUCGGCCACACUGGAACUGAGACACGGUCCAGACUCCUACGGGAGGCAGCAGUAGGGAAUCUUCCGCAAUGGGCGAAAGCCUGACGGAGCAACGCCGCGUGAGUGAUGAAGGUCUUCGGAUCGUAAAACUCUGUUAUUAGGGAAGAACAUAUGUGUAAGUAACUGUGCACAUCUUGACGGUACCUAAUCAGAAAGCCACGGCUAACUACGUG